GAUGAACGCUGGCGGCGUGCCUAACACAUGCAAGUCGAGCGGCAGCGAGGGGUGCUUGCACCCUGUCGGCGAGCGGCGGACGGCUGAGUAACGCGUGGGAACGUGCCCCAAAGUGAGGAAUAACUGCCCGAAAGGGUAGCUAAUACCGCAUAUUAUCUUCGGAUCAAAGGAUUUAUCCGCUUUGGGAGCGGCUCGCGUCGGAUUAGGUAGUUGGUGAGGUAAUGGCUCACCAAGCCGACGAUCUGUAGCUGGUCUGAGAGGAUGACCAGCCAGACUGGAACUGAGACACGGUCCAGACUCCUACGGGAGGCAGCAGUGAGGAAUCUUCCACAAUGGGCGAAAGCCUGAUGGAGCAACGCCGCGUGCAGGACGAAGGCCUUCGGGUUGUAAACUGCUUUUAUAAGUGAGGAAUAUGACGGUAACUUAUGAAUAAGGAUCGGCUAACUACGUG
rnacentral:rRNA from 1 species